rnacentral:rRNA from 1 species
ACUCCUACGGGAGGCAGCAGUGGGGAAUAUUGCACAAUGGGCGCAAGCCUGAUGCAGCCAUGCCGCGUGUGUGAAGAAGGCCUUCGGGUUGUAAAGCACUUUCAGUCGUGAGGAAGGUAGUGUAGUUAAUAGCUGCAUUAUUUGACGUUAGCGACAGAAGAAGCACCGGCUAACUCCGUGCCAGCAGCCGCGGUAAUACGGAGGGUGCGAGCGUUAAUCGGAAUUACUGGGCGUAAAGCGCAUGCAGGUGGUUUGUUAAGUCAGAUGUGAAAGCCCGGGGCUCAACCUCGGAAUAGCAUUUGAAACUGGCAGACUAGAGUACUGUAGAGGGGGGUAGAAUUUCAGGUGUAGCGGUGAAAUGCGUAGAGAUCUGAAGGAAUACCGGUGGCGAAGGCGGCCCCCUGGACAGAUACUGACACUCAGAUGCGAAAAGCGUGGGGAGCAAACAGGAUUAGAUACCCUGGUAGGAUAGCG